UACGGGGGGGGCAAGCGUUUGUUCGGAAUUACUGGGCGUAAAGGGCUCGUAGGUGGCCAACUAAGUCAGACGUGAAAUCCCUCGGCUUAACCGGGGAACUGCGUCUGAUACUGGAUGGCUUGAGCUCGGGAGAGGGAUGCGGAAUUCCAGGUGUAGCGGUGAAAUGCGUAGAUAUCUGGAGGAACACCGGUGGCGAAGGCGGCUCACUGGACCACAACUGACGCUGAGGCGCGAAAGCUAGGGGAGCAAACAGG
rnacentral:rRNA from 1 species